UGGGGGAUGGCAGAACUAUAUGCAGUGGGCUGUAAAUCCACCAAUGGGCUUGUCAAGCUCUCCCCUAA
rnacentral:tRNA from 1 species